UGGGCAACCUGCCCUCAGCUCUGGGAUAACUCCAAGAAAUUGGGGCUAAUACCGGAUGUGACCGCUGACCGCAUGGUCUGGUGGUGGAAAGAUUUAUCGGCUGGGGAUGGGCCCGCGGCCUAUCAGCUUGUUGGUGGGGUAGUGGCCUACCAAGGCGACGACGGGUAGCCGGCCUGAGAGGGCGACCGGCCACACUGGGACUGAGACACGGCCCAGACUCCUACGGGAG
rnacentral:rRNA from 1 species